CAACUGUUGAGAACAGUCCACUUCCAACUUAAUUGAAGUGGCUCGUUAGUGCUGACCCACCACUUGGUAAGGCAAUUCCCAUCUUUUCAUAUUCUUUGCAUUCAAAC